CCCUUAGAUGUUCUGGGCGGCCCGCGCACUACAUUGGCACUAGCAAAGAGAUCCUAGAUUGAAUUCUUUGGGGUAUUCUUCUAAAUGGUGUCGUGACUGGGAUAAAUCCUUGUAAUUAUUGGUUUUGAACGAGGAAUUCCUUGUAAUCGCGGUUUAUCAGCUCGCGUUGAAUGCGUCCCUGCCCUUUGUACACACCGCCCGUCGCUCCUACCGAUGGGUCGUCCGGUGAAGCUCACGGAGUGACUGUUCACGCAACGGUUUACGAAGUGAAAUGGACCUCACGAUUUAGAGGAAGGAGAAGUCGUAACA
rnacentral:rRNA from 1 species